UAACUCGUGAAGCAACAUCUCAGAAUUGAAUCGGGGAGUUGUGUAUUUGCUGGCAAUCCGGGCCUGCUUGGAUCAUUUUGGAAGAUACAUACGCCUGCGCUUUUCAAAGCGGACAGACGUGCCCGUGUCCAACUUGACAAAGGCGGAAUUAUUUUAGGAAAGACCAUGGCAACUAGUAAAGCAGAAUCCGAGAAUUCAAUCGGCGGCUGUAUGUUGACUGACAAGAAUAUAAUUGCUGUUAAUCCGGCCCUGCUUCUUGUACAAAUGCAUAGUGGGGAGACAUGAACAUUUUUCGAAAUUGCGGCCCUAUCCUCUUGGGAUUUUACGUUGGACAAAUUCUGAAAACGACCCAGAAAUAUAAUUGGAGGUUCAAACCCGUGCGAGGUGAGGUUUGAUAUAUGAAACAGACCAGUCAUGGGGACACGAGAUAUGGAAAGUUUCAGCGUAGUCGUCGCCAAAUCAGGAAUAUUGAGACUUAGACCAGUAUCUUUUUAAGUAGGCAUGUGGGGUAAAGAAGACGCAGAAGCUUCAGUCGGGCACCUUCGGUAACGUAGGCGGUUGAUAUAUUUCCACCACUACAUAUGUUGGAUUGGAAUUUCCCAUUUGAUGCUUUGACUGACUAAAUGAGGAAACUUGGAGGUAAGCUCUUACGGAAUUCUAUCGAGAUAUGUUUAGUAACAUAUUGGUG